AUGGCCACCGGAGCCGGCGACGACGGGCACGGCGCUGGUGCCCGGGCAACGGCGAUCCCGUCCGUGAUCCUGAACACUGGCCACGCCAUGCCGGUGCUGGGGUUCGGCACGGGCUCGCCAAGCAAGCCGGCGGACCUGGCGGACACCAUCGUGCACGCCAUCCGCCUCGGCUACCGCCACCUGGACACGGCCUCCAUGUACCGCACGGAGCCGACGGUGGGCGCCGCCGUAGCCGAGUCCGUCCGCGCCGACCUCUUCGUCACCUCCAAGCUCUGGAUCUCCGAUGCGCGCCCGGGCCGCGUCGUCCCGGCGCUCCGCGAGUCCCUCGCCCGCCUCGGCCUAGCCUACCUUGACCUCUUCCUCGUCCACUGGCCCGUGGCCGCCACCGCCGGCGGCCUCCCCGUGGACAAGGGCACGCUGGUGGAGUUCGACAUGGAGGGCGUGUGGCGCGGCAUGGAGGAGUGCCAUCGGCUGGGCCUGGCGAGGUCCGUCGGGGUGAGCAACUUCUCGGCGGCCAAGAUGGAGAGGCUGCUGGCUCUCGCCGCCGUGCCGCCGGCGGUCAACCAGGUUGAGAUGAACGUCGGGUGGAGGCAGGAGAAGGUGCGGGAGGUGUGCGCCCGGCACGGCGUCGUCGUCGCCGCCUACUCGCCGCUCGGCGCGUACGGCGCCUUCUGGGGCUCCGACGCCGUCAUGGAGAGCGGCGUCUUGCACGACGUCGCCGCCGCGAGAGGCAAGACCGUCGCGCAGGUGGCGUUGAGGUGGCUAUAUGAGCAGGGCGUGUGCUUCGUGGCGAGGAGCUACAACAAUGAGAGAUUGAAGCAGAAUAUGGAGAUCUUCGAGUGGGAGUUGAGCGAGGAGGAGAAGGGGAUGAUCGCCACAAUACCACAGAGGAGAGUGUCUUUGGGGGAGCGGUUCAUGUCGCCCGAUGGGCCUUACAGAUCACUCGAGGAGCUCUGGGACGACGAUAUAUGA
rnacentral:rRNA from 1 species